rnacentral:rRNA from 1 species
UGGGGAAUAUUGCACAAUGGAGGAAACUCUGAUGCAGCAACGCCGCGUGAGUGAAGAAGUAUCUCGGUAUGUAAAGCUCUAUCAGCAGGGAAGAAAAUGACGGUACCUGACUAAGAAGCCCCGGCUAACUACGUGCCAGCAGCCGCGGUAAUACGUAGGGGGCAAGCGUUAUCCGGAUUUACUGGGUGUAAAGGGAGCGCAGGCGGCAAAGCAAGCCAGAGGUGAAAACCCGGGGCUCAACCCCGAGGAUUGCCUUUGGAACUGUUUUGCUGGAGUGCUGGAGGGGCAGGCGGAAUUCCUGGUGUAGCGGUGAAAUGCGUAGAUAUCAGGAGGAACACCGGUGGCGAAGGCGGCCUGCUGGACAGUAACUGACGCUGAGGCUCGAAAGCGUGGGGAGCAAACAGGAUUAGAUACCCUGGUAGU